CAGCCCUCGUGGUAGGAGAGCAUCUAAAGCCGCGUGUUCUCCCUCUUUCAGGACGCCUUGCAGGAGACGUACAACCAGAAGGGCGUGUUUCCGGGGCAGCAGUUCAAACCCCCCCGCCGGCCGUGGACGCUCCUGAACUUCCUCUCCUGGGCCACGGUCCUCCUGUCUCCUCUCUUCAGUUGCGUCUUGGGUGUCUUUGCAAGUGGCUCGCCCCUCCUGAUCCUGACAUUCCUGGGGUUCGUCGGGGCAGCUUCCUUUGGAGUCCGCCGACUAAUAGGAGUAACUGAAAUAGAAAAAGGCUCUAGCUACGGAAACCAAGAAUUUAAGAAAAAGGAAUAAUUACUGGCUGUGAUUGCACAUACAUAACCUGACGGUGGUAUCCAAUUAACUCAAUUAAAAACAGAACAACACACACAGAUCGGAACAAAAGACCCUUAGAAACUAUUUUUCGUAUUAACUGGUGACUAAUAUUGACCAGUAAACCUUGAGCCAAGAGUGAAGCCGUCGGAGGCCCGCAGACAAAGACUCUGGCUACGCCCCUGCACAGGGGGUGAGAGUCCACCACGGAGCUGGGCGCGGGGGCACGUGUGUGCGGGGGCGGGGGGCGGCCACUCCUGGGAUCACCAGUCCCGCCCCGAUGUCAUCUCGAGAGGACUCUGCCUGCCAGAGGGAGCCUGUGGAUGCUUUCUCUUCUUAAACUUAGAUCCCAUUUUUGUUUUUAUCGGUUAUUUCGGGAACUCACCCUGGCCCUUCGCCUCCUCCCCCCACCCCAGCAAACCUUCCCCUGCUCUCCCAGGAUGGAGGAUUUGCAGGUCCCAGGCCCCCAAAGUGCCCACCUGUCCUGCCCAGCACCGCCCCUUCGCUCCGGCCGGUGGGGUGGGCGCGCAGAGCAUUCUCGGGGGGACAAGCACACGCCGAAUGUCGGAUGGACGGGUAGCCCCAUUUCACUGUCAGACCACGGCUUGCCCGUUUCCCCCCAGCCCCGUGUGUAAGUACCUUACAUCUGUUUUUAUAGUGAAGGGGCCCCUUCCCCCGGUACCUGAAGCCCCCUGUCCCUCUUUCUCCCUGCGGCCUCCACGGGGCUACACCCCUGUCCCCGGUGCCGGGAGAGGGCUGCCCUGCAGCCCACAGGGCUCUUGGAUGCUCGUUUAGAAGUAUGUCACCAUCAAACCUUGCUUCUGGAGGUGGUUGGAGACUGUUCACUUGGAGCUCGUUGGCUUCUAGAGGUUUUACUUUUACAGUUGGUCUAUUGAUGGCUCUCCGCUCCCUGAUGCAAAGUAGAGGUGGUGAGCCUCCCCCAACUCUGCCAGCCUCCCUUUCCCAAGCAGGUGCCGGGGCCCCGGGGGUGGCCUGCCCCUGUGUGGCACGUGUCACCCCGGGGGCUUGGGGGCACUGCUCCCCCCUGCUCCCCCGCCAUGGGGUGUCUCCCCGUGACCUGACUUGGGCCCGCAGCCCAGGGGAGCUGCGUGUUCUGCAGAUGGAGGCGUGGGGCUGGGGCCGCUGGGCUGGUGGAGGGAGGUGCACGGGGGGCCCCCGGCACCCGCCUCCUGGGCCCCAGCUCAAGCAUCCCGCUGCACGCCCCGCCUGCGUUGGACUUCCUUCCUAAACUUCAGGCGUGCUGUUUCCAAGUCACACUCCCCUCGCCCUGUUCAGCCAGGGAAGGAAAACUAGCGGUGUUAGUCUGGUGCCCUGUAACCAGCAUUCCGAAGAGAGGCCCGCUGCGUUUUCUAGGAGAGGAGGUGGAGGAAAGAGGGAUGGGAACAAUAGAAACUAAACUGGACAAAUAACUAUGCAUCAGCCCUUAGGUCUGUGUUUUGGGAGGACUUCUCGAGACCGCACACGCUCUUUAGGAGGACAGUGCUGGAUUCUGUGUGGUCGCCGUGGGGCAGGGCGAGACCGAGCACAGCCCCCGGAGGCUGCAGGGCUGAGGCAGCACCACCCCCCUCCCUCGCCGCUCAGACCCCGCACUGCAGGGAGGGACUGCCUUAGGUUCUUUCCCUUCACCUGGCGAGCUGCUUCCCUGUCCCCGUCUGUGUAUGUCACUAACUCACUAGCACCUGGGACGUUUUGGAACAGCCGUGCAGACGCAUCACCUACAAGACGCAGUUUAGAUCUUCCACCUGUUAACCCUAGCUCUCGUUGCCCGGAGAAGUUCUCUCCCCUGGGAACCCCUGUGCGCCGGGGGAGUCUGCCCGGAGUCGCUGAGCGAGCCGCGCGGACUCCCGUUCGCAUGGAGACCCAGGCCAGCGCAGGUUUUAAAUCUCAGUGAUUCCCUUCCAAUCUAACAGAUGAGCUUGUGCACUUGAUGCCAAGACCUUGAGAGCAAUAAAAUCUAUACCAUGAAUGUUUGGGGUUUUUUGUUUGUUUUUGGAGGGGGAUGGAGUUGCUUUUCAUCCACUUCAGAAGGAGAAGGAACGGGAACUCCUUUAAUUUUUAAAAUAAAUCAGAAUAGUGCUUUUCUUUUCCCUUUACGCCCUACAACUGAGUUUCCUCUGUUGCUGACGUCAUGUCCAAAUUAAGGCCGAAUGCUUGGACCGUGUGGGCUGGCCGCGGUUGGGGUGCACUCAGGCGCCGGGCCCUGGGCAUCCCCCGCGGGCACCCUACAGGCUGAGCUCGGAGCCUGGGGGCCGCUGGUGGCUCCUCCCUCGGCUCAGACCCACGCCCGGCUCUCGGGCACCUUCCACGCGUGCACCUGGGCCCUGCCCAGUGAGUGCAGUUCGGGUCGUGGUCACUACCCAUGUGUCCAGCUGAGGAGAGGACCCCAGCUUGUUUACCCCCCUCUGGGGAGUUCCAGGGGCUCCUAAGGUGCCAUGGCGGCUACCAGCACCUGGGGACUCUGAUAGCAGUGUAAGUGACCGUCCCCACUGCAUGGGGCCAGGAGGCGCUGGGGAAGGGCUUAGCUGGUCAGAAAGAAAGCGUGUCCCCAUUUGCGAUUAAUACAAAGGAAGAAGUGACCCUGGCCAUCCAGUGCUUGGUGGCAGCAUGGCCCUCCCUGAGGUGUCCCUGCAGUCCCUGUCCUCAAGAAGCACAGAGUCUAGUUGAAGAGAUGAGUUCUGAAUAUACAAACCACUAAAUAGCAACAUAAAACAACCAUGUAAGCAGCACUUAGUUGUAAACAAUGACGUAUGGGUACUGACCCAUCUUGAAUCUCCACCUGUCUGUCCCUCUGACCCCCCUCUGUGCCCCAAGGCAUGAGAACCUUUCCUUCCACUCGUUUAGUUACUGAGCAUUAGGUUGAGCUGAGCAAAGAGUGGAGUAUGCAAUUCGAGAGCGGUCUCCAGGCUGUCCGUGUCCCCGUGGCCACCGCUGGCGGUUAGAUUUGGGGUGAAGAAUAAGUCACUCUCUGCAUGUUGCUUUGUCUCUGCUGAGACGCUUAGAGGACAAGCCGCACAAUCUUUCCAGCCCGCUGAUUUUCAGCCCAACCGUUCAACCUUGUGCAUAAGCUCAUGCUUCCAAGUUCUCCCCGACACCAGCAUGCUCUCCCCAGCACGCAGCGCUCAGCGUCCCAUGGUGUCACGUGGCUUCUAACCCUUCCGCAGUGUAACGAGGCUUAGGGUGACAACGGUGGGCCUGGCGUGCCCACCUGCUUCCUCUCUGGACACAGUACGUCCGUGGCCCCGGUGCCUGCCCCUUUCUCUAGCGAGUGAGCUCCUGCAGGAAAGCGAGCCUCGGUGAGUGCCUGCGCCGUGGGGCAGCCGGGGCGCACGCGGACGUUCGGGGUCCACGUCCUCGUCUGUCAGGGCUGGCACACCCCAGCACAGGGACGGGUCGGGGGCAGAAGACGUCACACCGUGUUCUGCUUGGCUGAGGGGUGGACACACGUGAGCUCAGUUUUACCACGAGCAUUUGCCGCGGUCCAAUUCCGUGACGGUGUCAUUCCCAUAAGCUGCUCGGGGACAUAAAGGACAAGAGCACUGUUAGGGGACUGAGGAGAUGGCCAGAGAAGUGGACACCAGUCAGCCCUGUCAGCAGCUGAAUAUUCUUUUCAAAGACAAUUGAAUUGCUUAACAUUUUUAUGCUCUGUAAUGACACGUUCACCUGGACUUUUCUUUUCUCAUAAACUCUUCCGUUUCUUAACUUUCUGUUGCAAAAGUGAUGGGACAGACGUCGAACUGUGAAUGAGGCCCUGAAAUGCACUAAGCCGUGUUAAAUUAAACCUGAGCUACUUGAUGCCAUGAAGAAAUGCAUCCGAUCUGCUUGUAUUUAUUGUCUCAGACCUGUAAGAUUUGUACGUUGUGACAAUCAAAUGUGACUCGCCUAAAUGCCGGGAAAUUCCACUGGCUUCUUAACCAUAAAGACCGUCCGCAAGUACUGUAACUGUAAAUGAGCAUCUCUCUCUGGAAAACCACGCAAACCCCCGACUCGGUGCGUGCGACGGACGUCGGGGUUCUUUUUCUAUUACUGAUGAUCGGUCCUACCUGACUGUUGGCCAGUUUCUAAGUGAUGAAUUCUAUACAGGGUGCAAAUGUACUAUAUGGAUGUUUCCUUUUGUACACUUCAUUUUUACAAGUUUUGCUACUCCCAAGCUUUAUGUAGUCGAGGAUAGCGGUAUUUUUGGCCAGUGGGGCCUGUGGGGACGGGGUGGGGAUGGGCGAGCUACCUGAGAUUUUACCAGCCUGCGUCCCAAACAGCCGGCCAUGUUUGCCACGCUCUGUGGAGAUCACUCUGCACGUGGGUGCGUGCAAGCCCGCCGAGCGGUGGUACUUUCUAGAUAAAAUGCUGCGGGCGCCACGUGCGCCUCUUAACAUUGCUGCUGUCGCAGAGAGCGAGGAGACAUCCGUAAACGUUGUCUCCGGCGUGCGCGGGUCCCCUGGGGAGGCGGUGGACGCCCGGGCCGCCACCCACACCGACCGCCCCCGCGGGGGCCGCUCUAGCUGGGGCCGUCCUGCUGGGUGCGCUUCCCACGCUUCUCCAUUUCAUGUAAGAUGCUUCAGGAAGGGAAAUCGGAAAGGAGAGUGAGCAUCUGGUGAGGGCACAGGAGAGAAUCAGCUGGGGCACAAAGUGCUCAGUGCCCUCUGCCUAAACGUGGGUCUUAAAAGCCAUCAAGGACAAAAAGGUUUUCCAAAGUAGGCAUGUAUAUAUCAAAAAUUAUUUUUUUGUAACAACAAAAUCGUUCUGUGGAGAAAAUCGAGGAACAAUUUUUCUUCUUUAUAAAGAAAAGAACUCUUGUUAGAACCAAGAGCUAUUCCAGGUUCUCAUUUGUCUGUCUUGUGAAAAUAAAUCGAGCUGAAAGAGU